AUUGAACGCUGGCGGCAUGCCUUACACAUGCAAGUCGAACGGCAGCACGGGGCAACCUGGUGGCGAGUGGCGAACGGGUGAGUAAUGCAUCGGAACGUACCUUUCAGUGGGGGAUAACGUAGCGAAAGUUACGCUAAUACCGCAUAUUCUGUGAGCAGGAAAGCAGGGGAUCGCAAGACCUUGCGCUGAUUGAGCGGCCGAUGUCAGAUUAGCUAGUUGGUGAGGUAAAGGCUCACCAAGGCGCCGAUCUGUAGCGGGUCUGAGAGGAUGAUCCGCCACACUGGAACUGGGACACGGUCCGGACUCCUACGGGAGGCAGCAGUGGGGAAUUUUGGACAAUGGGGGCAACCCUGAUCCAGCCAUGCCGCGUGAGUGAUGAAGGCCUUCGGGUUGUAAAGCUCUUUCGGCCGGGAAGAAAUCGCACGGGCUAAUACCCUGUGUGGAUGACGGUACCGGAAUAAGAAGCACCGGCUAACUACGUGCCAGCCGCCGCGGUAAGAC
rnacentral:rRNA from 1 species